rnacentral:sRNA from 1 species
CCUUAGUCCUGAUAGGAACGGCAUCCUUUUGUGGUCUCGUUUUUUUUCUAACGAGACCACAAAAGAUAUAGUGGACAGCAGGAAUCAGC